AGUGAACGCUGGCGGUAGGCCUAACACAUGCAAGUCGAACGGCAGCACAGGAGAGCUUGCUCUCUGGGUGGCGAGUGGCGGACGGGUGAGGAAUACAUCGGAAUCUACUCUGUCGUGGGGGAUAACGUAGGGAAACUUACGCUAAUACCGCAUACGACCUACGGGUGAAAGCAGGGGACCUUCGGGCCUUGCGCGAUUGAAUGAGCCGAUGUCGGAUUAGCUAGUUGGCGGGGUAGAGGCACACCAAGGCGACGAUCCGUAGCUGGUCUGAGAGGAUGAUCGGCCCCACUGGAACUGAGACACGGUCCAGACUCCUACGGGAGGCAGCAGUGGGGAAUAUUGGACAAUGGGCGCAAGCCUGAUCCAGCCAUACCGCGUGGGUGAAGAAGGCCUUCGGGUUGUAAAGCCCUUUUGUUGGGAAAGAAAUCCAGCUGGCUAAUACCCGGUUGGGAUGACGGUACCCAAAGAAUAAGCACCGGCUAACUUCGUGCCAGCAGCCGCCGUAA
rnacentral:rRNA from 1 species